ensembl:rRNA 5S_rRNA 5S ribosomal RNA
GUCUACGGCCAUACCACCCUGAACAUGCCCAGUCGCGUCUGAUCUCGGAAGCUAAGCAGGGUCGGGCCUGGUUAGUACUUGGAAGGGAGAAAAUAAAUGCUUUAUAAA